rnacentral:lncRNA from 1 species
CAGUUACUGCCACCCUCUCCCAGGUCUAGAGAGGGGUACCCACGGUGGAGGGAGGUGGGAGGCCGAGACGGCCCCGGGGGUCGGCGGAGACCCAGCGGGAGCAGGGGGAAAUCGGAAGAGCUGGGGGCAUGGAGCGGGCGAGUUUGGAGCGGAAUGAGCCGGGAGCCCUACGUUGUGGAAGGAAGACAACAGUAUAGGACCAUCAGCAGGACCGGACAGAGAGGGGCACACCAGGCUGGCCUUGAACUCAGAAAUCCGCCUGCCUCUGACUCCCGAGUGCUGAGAUUAAAGGUGUGCACCACCACACCCGACAAGGAAGCCUGUUUUAAGAAGUGAUUCCAUGGAGGAGUUCUGCGGCGGCUCAGGGCUUGACUAAACAGUGGACCUCAGACAAGAGAGGCUAAACCAGGCUGCAGGUGACAGGAAGAAUUGAAUAAACUGAAAGCAAAGGGCAGCCUUCUAAUUACGCUUCGUGGCUAUGUGGACAACCUGGAGAAGUCUGGAAACAAGCCAGAAGCCCGAAGCCAGCAGUAGAGCUCUGACUGGCUUGUAUGCCUAGAAAGGAAGGGCUCUUCUUUCGCCUCACGGGCACAAAUGGGACCCACGAGCGCCGAUUUCAGACUAUUCUGAUCCCUUCAAAAAGAAAGUUAGGAGUCCAGGCUACUGUGAGUGAAUUUGAUUCUAAUUGUUUCAGAGAAUAUGGAAUAAAAUAUCUCAUUUGCAGUUGUUUA